CUACAGGAGGCAGCAGUGAGGGAUAUUGCGCAAUGGGCGAAAGCCUGACGCAGCGACGCCGCGUGGGUGAAGAAGGGUUUCGGCUCGUAAGCCCUUUUCUGCGUGAUGAUGAUGACGGUAGCGCAGGAAGAAGUGUCGGCUAACUACGUGCCAGCAGCCGCGGUAAAACGUAGGACGCAAACGUUAUCCGGAAUUACUGGGCGUAAAGGGCGCGCAGGCGGGUUCGUAAGUGAGGCAUGAAAGCCCCAGGCUAAACCUGGGGAGGCUGUCUGAGACUGCGGAUCUAGAGUGCGAUAGAGGGGUGUAGAAUUCCGCGUGUAGUGGUGAAAUGCGUAGAGAUGCGGAGGAAUACCAGUGGCGAAGGCGGCACCCUGGAUCGUAACUGACGCUGAGGCGCGAAAGCAUGGGUAGCGAACGGGAUUAGAAACCCUAGUAGUCC
rnacentral:rRNA from 1 species